UACAGAGGGUGCAAGCGUUGUUCGGAAUUAUUGGGCGUAAAGCGCGUGUAGGCGGCAUGGCAAGUCGGGUGUGAAAGCCCUCGGCUCAACCGAGGAAGUGCGCCCGAAACUGCUGUGCUUGAGUGCCGGAGAGGGUCGCGGAAUUCCCCAAGUAGAGGUGAAAUUCGUAGAUAUGGGGAGGAACACCGGUGGCGAAGGCGGCGACCUGGACGGUAACUGACGCUGAGACGCGAAAGCGUGGGGAGCAAACAGGAUUAGAAACCCCCGUAGUCC
rnacentral:rRNA from 1 species